rfam:Ictidomys tridecemlineatus contig008965, whole genome shotgun sequence.
GGGGAUAUAGCUCAGUUGGUAGAGGGUUUGCCUUUCAUGCACAAGGUUCUGGGUUCAACCCCUAGCACCACCA